rnacentral:misc_RNA from 1 species
UCGGGGAGGAAGAGCUUAGCUAAGAACUCUAGAGGUUGCGAGAAGAUAUUACUGUAGCAAUGGAGGCGGUGAGAAGGAGGAGCUUUGGUUGGCCGACAAUGGCGGUGGUGCUAACAUGCGCUUUGCUCGUGAUGCUGCCUCAAGUGUACUCGAUUCGGUACAUUGUGGGAUCGAGAUUCGGGUGGACUAACAGUGUCAAUUACACCAAUUGGGCUAAGGACAAACAUUUCUACAACGGAGACUGGCUCUUUUUUGUGUAU